UACGUAGGGCGCAAGCGUUGUCCGGAAUUAUUGGGCGUAAAGAGCUCGUAGGCGGUCCGUCGCGUCUGCCGUGAAAACCCGAGGCUUAACCUCGGGCCUGCGGUGGAUACGGGCGGACUAGAGGUAGGUAGGGGAGAAUGGAAUUCCCGGUGUAGCGGUGAAAUGCGCAGAUAUCGGGAGGAACACCGGUGGCGAAGGCGGUUCUCUGGGCCUUACCUGACGCUGAGGAGCGAAAGCAUGGGGAG
rnacentral:rRNA from 1 species